CCUACGGGUGGCAGCAGUGGGGAAUAUUGCGCAAUGGGGGGAACCCUGACGCAGCGACGCCGCGUGAGCGAAGAAGGCCUUAGGGUCGUAAAGCUCUGUUGUAAGGGACGAAAGGAUAAGGGAGUAACUGCCCUUAUGGUGACGGUACCUUACGAGGAAGCCCCGGCUAACUACGUGCCAGCAGCCGCGGUAAGACGUAGGGGGCGAGCGUUGUCCGGAAUUACUGGGCGUAAAGAGCACGUAGGCGGGUAAGAAAGUCAGAUGUGAAAGACCGUGGCUUAACUACGGGGUUGCAUCUGAAACUGCUAAUCUUGAGGGCAGGAGAGGUCAGUGGAAUUCCUGGUGUAGCGGUGAAAUGCGUAGAAAUCAGGAGGAACACCGGUGGCGAAGGCGACUGACUGGACUGACCCUGACGCUGAGGUGCGAAAGCGUGGGUAGCAAACAGGAUUAGAUACCCGUGUAGU
rnacentral:rRNA from 1 species